UAGCGUAUAUUAAAGUUGUUGCGGUUAAAAAGCUCGUAGUUGGAUUUCUGUUGAGGAUGACUGGUCCGCCUCUUGGGCGUGUAUCUAGUUCAGCCUCGGCAUCCUCUUGAAAUACGUACCGCGCUUGAUUGCGUGGUGCGGAGUUCAAGACUUUUACUUUGAGGAAAUUAGAGUGUUCACGGCAGGCGUUCGCCCUGAAUAUAUUAGCAUGGAAUAAUAAUAUAGGAUCUUGGUUCUAUUUUGUUGGUUUCUAGAGCUAGGAUAAUGAUUAAUAGGGACGGUUGGGGGCAUUCGUAUUAACGCGUC
rnacentral:rRNA from 1 species